rnacentral:rRNA from 1 species
AUGGAUACUGAAUGGGAGCUUAAAUUUCCUAUGGUAACCGUGCGAGCCCUAGAGCGAAUCGAGGCAUUAUCGGAUCAUGCACCAAUCAUUAUUGAUUCUAAUUCUACGAGUCAUUCUGCCCGUCGCCCUUUCAAAUUUGAAUUGGCAUGGCUGCAUCGGGAUGGUUUUGUAGACAUAAUAAAGAGUGUUUGGGAGAGGCCCGCCAUUGGUCAUACACCGAUUCAGAGAUGGAAUUAUAAAAUAAGGCCCGUGAGUCAACACCUCUCUGGAUGGGCGAAACACACCAUCGGAUUGUACAAAAAAGAAAAGCAGCGCCUUUGUACCAUCAUUGAUGACCUCGACAAAAUUGCAGAGGCACGCAGCUCAUCUCAACGAGAGAUUGAAUUGAAAAAUCAAUCUAAUGAGAAGGUUGCCCGUCUACUGCGCGAAGAGGAGAUCAAAUACUACCAGAGGUCCAAAGCUGACGUCAUCCUAAUGGGAGAUAGUAAUACAAAUACUUCCAAUUGGUGGCCAAUGGUUGACAUAGGAAAAAAAUGUAUUCAUAGUCUCCAACAGGAUGAGGGGCGGAUCGAAGGUCAGGAGGAGAUCAAAAAGUAUAUCACCAGCUACUACAAAUCUCUUUUCGAGGCGCCAUAUGAAGGUAAUGCCACCCUUGACGAGGCCCGAAUAGAUGAUAUUUCACAAGCCACGGUGGAAGAUAACAAUAUCCUCACGACACCUUUCUCGGAAGAGGAGGUGAGAGCGGCGGUUUUCCAAAUGGAACACAACAAAGCUCCACGCCCUGAUGGUUUUCCCGCAGAAUUUUAUCAGAAUUUCUGGGAUAUCAUCAAGGCUGACCUUCUGGAGUUGUUUAAGUGUCUUCAUGCCGAUCAACUUGACCUAUUUAGGCUAAAUUUUGGCGAGAUUGUUUUGUUGCUGAAAAUUAAGGAGGUCGAACGGAUCCAACAGUUCAGACCCAUAUGCCUCUGCUACCUCUUGAGCUUGCGUUGGUUUUUCCCUUGA